rnacentral:rRNA from 1 species
AGAGCGAACGCUGGCGGCAGGCUUAACACAUGCAAGUCGAGCGCCCCGCAAGGGGAGCGGCAGACGGGUGAGUAACGCGUGGGAACGUACCUUUGGUUCGGAACAACACAGGGAAACUUGUGCUAAUACCGGAUAAGCCCUUACGGGGAAAGAUUUAUCGCCGAAAGAUCGGCCCGCGUCUGAUUAGCUAGUUGGUGAGGUAACGGCUCACCAAGGCGACGAUCAGUAGCUGGUCUGAGAGGAUGAUCAGCCACAUUGGGACUGAGACACGGCCCAAACUCCUACGGGAGGCAGCAGUGGGGAAUAUUGGACAAUGGGCGCAAGCCUGAUCCAGCCAUGCCGCGUGAGUGAUGAAGGCCCUAGGGUUGUAAAGCUCUUUUAACGGGGAGAUAAUGACGGUACCGUAGAAUAAGCCCCGGCUAACUUCGUGCCAGCAGCCGC